rnacentral:rRNA from 1 species
UACGAAGGGGGCUAGCGUUGCUCGGAAUCACUGGGCGUAAAGGGUGCGUAGGCGGGUCUUUUAAGUCAGGGGUGAAAUCCUGGAGCUCAACUCCAGAACUGCCUUUGAUACUGAAGAUCUUGAGUUCGGGAGAGGUGAGUGGAACUGCGAGUGUAGAGGUGAAAUUCGUAGAUAUUCGGAAGAACACCAGUGGCGAAGGCGGCUCACUGGCCCGAUACUGACGCUGAGGUGCGAAAAGCGUGGGGAGCAAACAGG